rnacentral:tRNA from 1 species
GAGCGCUUGCAUGGCAUGCAAGAGGUCAGCGGUUCGAUCCCGCUUAGCUCCACCA